GGUGGCGGGAUUUCCACUGUCUCCUUUGGCUGCCACCGUGCUGAGAGCAUGAGAAACAUGACAGCCAAGGGCAAAGCCUGGGAAUCUGUGUCAGUGUUGAGAUACAAGCUCUUCCACAUAAUGGAAGUGUUUUCCACAGUCUGUCCUCAUUUUCAACCUGAAGCUAUGCUGUAGCACUAGGGAGAAAAAAACAACCAAUCACAUCUUCACCCCAUGUUGGAGCUCCUCUCUGCAGCCCUGCAUCUCCAGAUCUAAGACAAACUGACUAUUUCAG
rnacentral:lncRNA from 1 species